AGCUGCUGGGUCUUGAACUCACAGAGAUCCUGCUACCCUUGACUCCAGAGUGUUAAAAUUAAAGGUGUGCACCACCACAUGUGGCCUUAGAAGAUAAUUUAACACAAUCAGAUCAUUAUAAAUGUUCAAAGCCUUCAACCCAGCAUUCCUAUCUCUACAAAUAGUUCCCACUUACACGCUUACACACUUACACGAGAUGAACUUGCUGGCU
rnacentral:rRNA from 1 species